UUAUGGUUUCAUUGUUAAGAUCUUUUGUGUGAUGUCAUCACUCCUUCAAGAAGACUGUUGUGGCACAGGAUGGAGGUGUGCGGUGAUGGUGUAGGUCCACGGAGGAAAAUAAAGUGGAUAAACGGCUCAGUUUGACUCCAGAACUCUCUCUCACUGCGCGAGCUUGUCUAGCUAAUUAGAAUUAACAGCAUUAACCAGGAACCGCUCCUCUCAACCAAUGGCGUCCUUCUACAGCUCAUGAUUAUUCAUAAGGCGGGGCUCGGCGCGCCAGCUCACUGGUGGAGGCUGACGGGAGGGCGGUGCCCACCGGACCUACCGCGCGGGGUGGUGCGGAACCGCGGAGUGUGUCUUGCGUAGGGCGAGAUGUUGUUUUUUUGUGGCGAUCAGCUGAACGUGGCAUCGCUGUCCGGUCUGACACAACAGUGGGAAGCACAACCAGCCCCUCCGGUCCUCCCUGCACAGAAACCCGGGCGCACAGCAGCUGAUCCCGGCGCAUCACAAUCCAGGAAAUGCGGACUUCUGGCCCCUUCGCAACGGGAUAAAUGGCUGCAGCGCCAGCACUGUAGCAAGCUGGUUUGCCUCGAGCCAACACUUUUUAGUUCGCACCACGACUAAGAGAGCAAAUAUAAAGCAGCCAAGUGUGAACGGCGGGUACGGUGGGCUGCGUGGGAGACUGUGCACUGUGAUCUUGACAUCCACGCAUCACUGAAACUUGUGAGCGCAGGGAGGACAGCUUUUGAAAAUGCCUAGCCCGAGUUCUGCGUAAUGCGGGGGCUUGCUUGAAUGGAUGCCACUCUGGAAUUCAUUUACAGAUGCGGCACAGUGGCACUCUGGCUGGAACUGGAAGGUUUACGUAAACGAGACACGUCCAUGUCAGCAAAAGAUUUGUCACUUAGGAACGAAG
ensembl:lncRNA